rnacentral:rRNA from 1 species
AAUGAACGCUAACAGUAUGCUUAACACAUGCAAGUCAAACGUGAGAGGGUAGCAAUAUCCUUGAAAGUGGCGCACGGGUGAGUAAUACGUAGGUGACCUGCCCUGGAGUGGGGGAUAACAGCUCGAAAUGGCUGCUAAUACCGCAUACUACCGAACUGCCGGGAAGCGGAUUGGGAAAAACGCUGGUGCUUCAGGAGGGGCCUGCGGCCGAUUAGCUAGUUGGCGGGGUAAGAGCCCACCAAGGCAGUGAUCGGUAGCUGGUCUGAGAGGACGAUCAGCCACACGGGAACUGAGACACGGUCCCGACUCCUACGGGGGGCAGCAGUGAGGAAUAUUGGGCAAUGGGCGGAAGCCUGACCCAGCAACGCCGCGUGGAGGAAGACGGCCUUCGGGUUGUAAACUCCUUUUACGGGGGAAGAGGAAGGACGGUACCCCGAGAAUAAGCCACGGCUAACUACGUGCCAGCAGCCGCAGUAAUAC